CAUCUACGUAUGUGAGCCUUAGUGUAAGCAGUGAAAAAGUGAAACCACAAACGGCUCAUUAUAUCAGCUAUGGUUCCUUAGAUCUCGCUGCGGGGGUGACUCCGCACUUGGAUAACUGUGGCAAUCCUACAGCUAAUACAUGCCACGGUGACAGAGUCCUGCCGGAGACGGCGGGGACAGCUCUUAUUAGAUCAAAACCGACGGGGCGCCUCUCAACGGGGAUCGCCUCUCGACUCAAUGCUUGGUGACUCUGAAUAGACCCUCCGGGCGGAUCGAAAGGGAAAAACCAUGCGAAAGCUGUAUGCUACCAUCGACACGUCUUUCAAGUGUCUGCCUUAUCAACUGUCGAUGGUAGGUUCCGUGCUUACCAUGGUUGUCACGGGUGACGGGGAAUCAGGGUUCGAUUCCGGAGAGGGAGCCUGAGAAACUGCUACUACAUCUAAGGAAGGCAGCAGGCGCGCAAAUUACCCACUCCCGGCACGGGGAGGUAGUGACGAAAAAUAACGAUGCGGGACUCAUCCGAGGCCCCGUAAUCGGAAUGGGUUCACUUUAAACCCUUCCACAAGUACCAAUUGAAGGGCAAGCCUGGUGCCAGCAGCUGCGGUAACUCCAGCUUCAAUAGCGUAUAUUAAAAUUGUUGCGGUUAAAAAGCUCGUAGUCUGAGGUGUGUCUCGCACCUCCGGUUCACGGCUCGACCGUGUCCAACUGGUUACAGUGCGGACGUCCUGCCGGCGGCUAGAUCCCUUCAUGCGGCGGCCGUCUCGCGGCUCUCGCGCGUUCGCUUCAGGGCGCUCUCGCUUGGGUCGCUGGAAGCCUCCGCGGGAACGGCCCCACUUAAACGUGCUGCCCGCUCGCGGUGCUCUUGACCGAGUGUCUCGGGGGGCCGGCAAGUUUACUUUGAACAAAUCAAAGUGCUCAACGCAGGCGUCUCACAUGCUCGGAUGGAUUUUGCAUGGAAUAAUGGAACAGGAUCUCGGUUCUGUUUUGUUGGUUUUCUCUUGGAAUGUCCGAGAUAAUGAUCAAUAGGGACUGACGGGGGCAUUCGUAUUGCGGCGUUAGAGGUGAAAUUCUUGGAUCGUCGCACGACGCACCAGAGCGAAAGCAUUUGCCAAGGAUGUUUUCACUGAUCAAGAACGAAAGUUAGAGGUUCGAAGGCGAUCAGAUACCGCCCUAGUUCUAACCAUAAACUAUGCCAGCCAGCAAUCCGUGGAGUUCCUCCGAUGACUCCUGCGGGCAGCCCCCGGGAAACCGAAGCUUUUGGGUUCCGGGGGAAGUAUGGUUGCAAAGCUGAAACUUAAAGGAAUUGACGGAAGGGUACCACCAGGAGUGGAACCUGCGGCUUAAUUUGACUCAACACGGGAAAACUCACCAGGCCCAGACACCGGGAGGAUUGACAGAUUGAGAGCUCUUUCUCGAUUCGGUGGGUGGUGGUGCAUGGCCGUUCUUAGUUGGUGGAGCGAUUUGUCUGGUUAAUUCCGAUAACGAACGAGACUCUAGCCUGCUAACUAGUCGGAAAUUAACCCGGCAUCCUCUGCCGCUGCCGGCGAACGACUCACUCUUCUUAGAGGGACGGGCGGUCUUGAGCCGCACGAGAUUGAGCAAUAACAGGUCUGAGAUGCCCUUAGAUGUUCUGGGCCGCACGCGCGUUACACUGAAGGAGUCAGCGAGUCGGUGCCCUUGUCCGAGAGGACCGGGUAACCCGCUCAAACUCCUGCGUGCUUGGGAUUGGGGCUUGAAAUUGUUCCCCAUGAACGAGGAAUUCCCAGUAAGCGCGAGUCAUAAGCUCGCGUUGACUACGUCCCUGCCCUUUGUACACACCGCCCGUCGCUACUACCGAUUGAAUGAGUUAGUGAGGACUUCGGACUCGCGCGGGUUUUCGCUUGGCGCAAGCCGGGCGCUCCCGUCGCGAGGAAGUUGGCCGAACUUGCUUACUUCGAAGAAGUCAAAGUCGAGC
rnacentral:rRNA from 1 species